rnacentral:rRNA from 1 species
UACGUAGGCAGCGAGCGUUGUUCGGAGUUACUGGGCGUAAAGCGUGCGUAGGCGGUGUCUUAAGUUUGUUGUGAAAUCUCCCGGCUUAACCGGGAGGGUGCGCCGAAAACUGGGAGACUAGAGUGCGGGAUGGGAGAGUAGAAUUCCUGGUGUAGCGGUGAAAUGCGCAGAUAUCAGGAAGAACACCCGUGGCGAAGGCGGCUCUCUGGUACGUGACUGACGCUGAGACGCGAAAGCGUGGGGAGCAAACAGG